CAGCCCUAAACGAUGCGCGUUAGGUGUAUCGGUGACCACGAGUCACCGAGGUGCCGAAGGGAAACCGUGAAACGUGCCGCCUGGGAAGUACGGUCGCAAGGCUGAAACUUAAAGGAAUUGGCGGGGGAGGCACCACAACGGGUGGAGCCUGCGGUUUAAUUGGACUCAACGCCGGGAAGCUCACCGGAUAAGACAGCGGAAUGAUUGCCGGGCUGAAGACCCUGCAUGACCAGCUGAGAGGAGGUGCAUGGCGUAGUCGUGU
rnacentral:rRNA from 1 species